UAGUAACGGCGAGUGAAGCGGUAACAGCUCAAAUUUGAAAUCUGGCUCCCUGCGGAGUCCGAGUUGUAAUUUGUAGAAGAUGCUUUGGGUGCUCGGCCCGGUCUAAGUUCCUUGGAACAGGACGUCGUAGAGGGUGAGAAUCCCGUAUGCGGCCGGGGUGGGUGCUCGUGUAAAGCUCUUUCGACGAGUCGAGUUGUUUGGGAAUGCAGCUCAAAUUGGGUGGUAAAUUUCAUCUAAAGCUAAAUAUGGGCCAGAGACCGAUAGCGCACAAGUAGAGUGAUCGAAAGAUGAAAAGCACUUUGGAAAGAGAGUUAAACAGUACGUGAAAUUGUUGAAAGGGAAGCGCUUGCAACCAGACUUGGGCGUCGCUGAUCAUCCAAAGUUUUCUUUGGUGCACUCGACGACGUACAGGCCAGCAUCGGUUGGGGUGGUGGGAGAAAGGUUGUGGGAACGUAGCUCUCUUCGGGGAGUGUUAUAGCCUGCGACGCAAUACCGCCUACCCUGACCGAGGACCGCGCUUCGGCUAGGAUGCUGGCGUAAUGGUUGUAAGCGACCCGUCUUGAAACACGGACCAAGGAGUCUAACAUCUAUGCGAGUGUUUGGGUGCGAAACCCAUGCGCGAAAUGAAAGUGAACGUAGGUGAGAACCCUUCGAGGGGGCAUCAUCGACCGAUCCUGAUGUCUUCGGAUGGAUUUGAGUAAGAGCAUAGCUGUUGGGA
rnacentral:rRNA from 1 species